UUUCCGGUUUCUGGGAAUUUUUCGUUGGAAGUAAUGAAAAGAACCAGAUAUGAGGCCAUCGUAACAAUUAAACGUAGGAAGUUAGCGUAAAAUAACAUGUUUCCUAGUCGCAAACUCUGAACGAGAAGUGCAAUCAGGCAGUCCUCUUCAAAAAUAUCUUUGAUUUAAAACACAUGCUGUUUGGAUAAAUAAAAACAGCAGAGCUGCACAUCCUUGGUGAUGAUCAUAUGUGAAGUGUGUGGUUUUCAUCCGGAAUGUUAGUAAAAAGGAAACCAUCAAGUUGAGUCUUUUCAAUUUAACAACGAUUCCUUUCAGCUAAAAAAAAAUGUAAAAAUUGUGCAUUGGGAAAUGAAUACUUCAUAACAGUGUUAUGUGAUUUUAAACUUGUUGAUUUAAUAACGCCUUUUUGUGAUGCCUAGAAAAGAUUACUAAACAGUCGGAAAGUCGUCAACGUAUAUAUAUAUAGAUAGAAUGUUUUCUCAAGGAAGCCGAUUUCCAGGAAAAUAACAAAGUGUGAUUACAAUUCACUGAAGUAUGCACAACGCAAUAGUGAUCAUGGUUGCUGUGGUAAUCAUUGAAAGUGGAUGUAAUUCAGUCCCUUCGUCGGAAUUUCUCAUAGACAAAGACAAAGGCGAAACUGGAAGAUAGGUGUGGUCCUCUACCAGUCGUGAAUGGUAGUAAAUGGGAGUGUCCAUAUGGCGUGUCUCCUCUCUCAGUCCCCGUAUACGAGUCCUGUCGUGUACUCUGUAAGGGAGAAUCUCUACAGAGACGGACUCUUGUCAAAGUCAGAUGCACGGAGAAGUUGGAAUGGGAUCACCCUAUGCUUUCCGCUGUUUGUGCCGUAAUAAAAAAUCCUUCCGGUGCCAGUUUUCAUGGACAAGACCAGGAGUGGAAAGUUGCAAUCAUUACUGGCCUUGUGUCCGUUGUAAUUGUUCUAAUCGUACUCUGUAUUUUCCGAAAACUUAAACGCAUCAAAUGUAGUCGUCUGCAAAAGCUGCUCGGCAAUUCUGUAUUUCCAGACAACACAAUGUCACUGAAUUCUGUAUGUACUGCUGAUGUGGGAAACGUUCAACAACGAAACGUUGUAAAUGAGGAUACAGCAAAAAACCAAUUGUGUACUCAAAACAGCGAUGUGGAUAAUCAAAACAGCGAUGUGGAUAAUCAAAACAGCGAUGUGGAUAAUCACAACAGCGAUGUGGAUAAUCACAACAGCGAUGUGGAUAAUCACAACAGCGAUGUGGAUAAAGAGCAUAACACCUUAAGUGAUAAUGACAUAGACCUUUGUGUCUCUAGAGAGGCAUUCCAAACCAGCGAUCUUGCGGACACGGAUAUUUUUCUACAAACAAUUUCUAACAAUAUAACGGUACCUCAUGCUACAGUACGAAAUGCUGAUAGUCCGAUAAAAUGUGACUGUAUUCUGAACAAUAUGAAUCAAAAUACUGAAAAUAUUGAACUCUCAAACGAAUUUAAUGGUUUAGAUAUUUCAAUACUGACAACAGACAGUCUAAAAAACGUGGAAGAGAAUGUGGCUAUUGUUGAGGAUCAUUCUUGGAAGCAGAGCGGAGCAACACGUGCAGGAUCGUGUCCAACCAUUGCCGCAAUGUUAGAAGGAGCAGUAAACGAUAGCAUUCGUUUUGUUGACGACCUUUCUACUUUGCUGGACCCAGAUAAUCCUGGCAAUUGGCAGGGCCUGAUUCAGGCCUAUUUUAGUUUGUCCUUUAACAAAAUCCAAGAAAUAAGACACAAAACAAAGGACCAUUUCAAGGAGGCCGUCUUGCCCUUGUUGAGUUCCCAUGGACUUAGCAUUGUCCACUUGACUUCUUAUUUCUACAAACUGCCGUCACGACGUAUUGACGUCAUAGAGUGCAUCCAGCGUUAUCACCCUUAUUGUCAGGAAUGUGGAGAAAUCUACGACUGUGUGAAGUCAACUAACGUUGAAUAGUUUCAGAUUUACAAUGGCUAGCUCGCUUCAGUGACACAUCGCUUUAAACAAAAUGAAAAAUUAUCUUCGAGGUGUGACGUCAUACACAGUUGUCCAGAAUGAGAAUAUUUUUGCAAGUUUCAAUUGUUAUUGUUAGCGCCUCAAAAACUGAUUUCAUGAAGUUGUAUUUAAAAUUAUUCAAAGAAAUACGGGUAUAAAGCAGUAUUGUGU
rnacentral:misc_RNA from 1 species